rnacentral:rRNA from 1 species
AUUGAACGCUGGCGGCAUGCUUUACACAUGCAAGUCGAGCGGCAGCACAGAGAAGCUUGCUUCUUGGGUGGCGAGUGGCGAACGGGUGAGUAAUAUAUCGGAACGGUACCGAGUAAUGGGGGAUAACUAAUCGAAAGAUUAGCUAAUACCGCAUAUUCUCUGAGGAGGAAAGCAGGGGACCUUCGGGCCUUGCGUUAUUCGAGCGGCCGAUAUCUGAUUAGCUAGUUGGUGGGGUAAAGGCCUACCAAGGCGACGAUCAGUAGCGGGUCUGAGAGGAUGAUCCGCCACACUGGGACUGAGACACGGCCCAGACUCCUACGGGAGGCAGCAGUAGGGAAUUUUGGACAAUGGGCGCAAGCCUGAUCCAGCCAUGCCGCGUGUCUGAAGAAGGCCUUCGGGUUGUAAAGGACUUUUGUCAGGGAAGAAAAGGCUGUUGCUAAUACCGACAGCUGAUGACGGUACCAAGAAUAAGCACGGCU